rnacentral:tRNA from 1 species
GCCCCGUUAGCUCAGUCGGUAGAGCACCAGACUCUUAAACUCUCUGUCGCUGGUUCGAACCCCGCAUCGGGCU